rnacentral:rRNA from 1 species
GUGAACGCUGGCGGUAGGCCUAACACCUGCAAGUCGAACGGUAGCACAGUAAGAGCUCGCUCUUACGGGUGGCGAGUGGCGGACGGGUGAGGAAUACAUCGGAAUCUACUUUUUCGUGGGGGAUAACGUAGGGAAACUUACGCUAAUACCGCAUACGACCUACGGGUGAAAGCAGGGGAUCUUCGGACCUUGCGCGAUUGAAUGGGCCGAUGUCGGAUUAGCUAGUUGGCGGGGUAAAGGCCCACCAAGGCGACGAUCCGUAGCUGGUCUGAGAGGAUGAUCAGCCACACUGGAACUGAGACACGGUCCAGACUCCUACGGGAGGCAGCAGUGGGGAAUAUUGGACAAUGGGCGCAAGCCUGAUCCAGCCAUACCGCGUGGGUGAAGAAGGCCUUCGGGUUGUAAAGCCCUUUUGUUGGGAAAGAAAAGCAGCAGGUUAAUACCCCGCUGUUCUGACGGUACCCAAAGAAUAAGCACCGGCUAACUUCGUG